rnacentral:rRNA from 1 species
CCUACGGGAGGCAGCAGUGGGGAAUAUUGCGCAAUGGGGGGAACCCUGACGCAGCAAAGCCGCGUGCGGGACGAAGGCCCUCGGGUUGGACACCGCUUUCAGCAGGGAAGAUCCAAGACGGUACCUGCAGAAGAAGCUCCGGCUAACUACGUGCCAGCAGCCGCGGUAAUACGUAGGGGGCGAGCGUUAUCCGGACUCAUUGGGCGUAAAGCGCGCGAAAGCGGCCGCCCAAGCGGUACCUCUAACCCCGGGGCCCAACCCCGGGCCGGGUCCCGGACUGGGCGGCUCGAGUGCAGGAGAGGAGAGCGGAAUUCCUGGUGUAGCGGUGUAAUGCGCAGAUAUCGGGAAGAACCCCGAUGGCGAAGGCAGCUCUCUGGGCCGUCACUGACGCUGAGGCGCGAAAGCUGGGGGAGCGAACAGGAUUAGAUACCCGUGUAGUC